rnacentral:rRNA from 1 species
AGACUUUGAUCAUGGCUCAGAACGAACGCUGGCGGCAGGCCUAACACAUGCAAGUCGAGCGCACCUUUUCGGAGGUGAGCGGCGCACGGGUGAGUAACGCGUGGGAACCUACCCUGGGGUAGGGGAUAACCGCUGGAAACGGCGGCUAAUACCCUAUACGUCCUUCGGGAGAAAGAUUUAUCGCCCUGGGAUGGGCCCGCGUCGGAUUAGCUAGUUGGUGGGGUAAAGGCUCACCAAGGCGACGAUCCGUAGCUGGUCUGAGAGGAUGAUCAGCCACACUGGGACUGAGACACGGCCCAGACUCCUACGUGGGGGCACGCAGUGGGGAAUAUUGGACAAUGGGCUGCAAGCCUGAUCCAGCCAUGCCGCGUGAGUGAAGAAGGCCUUAGGGUUGUAAAGCUCUUUCACCCGCGAAGAUGAUGACGGUAGCGGGAGAAGAAGCCCCGGCUAACUCCGUGCCAGCAGCCGCGGUAACUACGGAGGGGGCAAGCGUUGUUCGGAUUUACUGGGCGUAACAGGGCGCGUACGCGGAUGUUCGCGUCAGAGGUGAAAGCCCCGGGCUCAACCUGGGAACUGCCUUUGA